UGAUGAUGAUGAUGAUGAUGACGAUGAUGACAAUGACUUCUUCCAUUCUCACACAAUAUCAUCAUCAUCACCACCAUUUCAC
rnacentral:miRNA from 1 species